UAAAGAGUCAACAUUUGGGUCACGGCCCUUCAUCAGAUAUGUUCUUUUUCAAGCGGAGAAUCAGAACUAGCCACCUCUGCUGUAUCUUUAAUGUUGGUAAAUCAAGAUCCAUCAGAAGACACAAGUGUGCUUCAAUGCUCAGGGAAAAUAUCAGGGCAGAAAGUGAUUGGAAACUCAGCCAUAAUGUUAGAUGAUGAAAUGCCUCGAGUGGCUUUGUGGCCUUCCCCCACGCCCAUUUCUUAUGUCCUAGUAUUCAAUUGAUAAAAAUGUCCUGAAGGAAAGUAGACCUCCCUUCUGCCCCGCUCACUGAUAAUUGAACUGAAUCGUGUGGUAUCCUGGUCAAACCUCCUAUGCGUUCCAAGACAAAGCACCCUCAGCCCCAGAGCCAAUCUAUUCCAAAUCUUAGACCACAGGCUUCAAUCAACUGUAAUUUUCUGCACUUUGUCCUGUAUUGGCAUGAUAACAUUUGAAAUGCAGAAUCCAUUUGAUUUAAACUGAGUUUCUGCAACAUUUUGAGUAAAUUUAGAACAAAAUGUGCUGGAAGCAGGCUCUGUGCACCCAAUCCACCCAACUACCCCACUCUCUCCCAGUAUUUCUGCUGGUUGCACUCACUUGCAGAUCCUUUAUGAACCCCUAAAAAUGAAACUAGUUCUUCAAGUCAACAGGAUGUUAAUAAGCAUUUAAAUGGUUUAUGAAAGUGAUAUUUUUUCUAAAUUCCUAAGAAGCUGACUGUAUUUCAGUAGAACCAAUAAAUUGCUCUGUAUAUUUCUUAAAACAUAUUAAUAGACAUUAAAAUUAAAUUACUAUUAUUAAAAAUACUAACAAAAUACUAACACUUUCAAUUUAUAUCGAGAAAAAGUAUGACCUAAAACAAAUUUCUUUAAAAA